GCGGGUGUAGUUCAAUUUGGUAGAAUAUCUCGUUGCCAACGAGAAGGUUGUGGGUUCAAGUCCCAUCGCCCGCU
rnacentral:tRNA from 1 species